UGUGGGAGCUGGCUUGCCUGCGAUGGCGGUCGUUCAGUGUCAGGUGUGUUGGCUGACACACCGCUAUCGCAGGCAAGCCAGCUCCCACC
rnacentral:misc_RNA from 1 species